rnacentral:lncRNA from 1 species
GAAUAUUAGUUAUGUAUCAUCAUACAUUUUAAGAUGUAUAAACCAUCUACUUACAUAUACUUGAAUAUGUUUUUUAAAUGCAAAAAAAAAAAAAAACACCCUUCAAUUAUUUUGUUUAAAUACAAACUUUAAAAAUAAAAUAUUUUUGGGACAUCCAAGGGGUGAACACCCUUCCAUGUUAAAGAUUUGAUCUUCAUUGCCCCACCUCCUCCCAAUUAAAAAAGAAAAAUUAAAAUCAUAAAAUAUCACAUAAUAAAUAUUCUAAAUUUAUGAGUAUGAAUUCUCUAAAC